rnacentral:RNase_P_RNA from 1 species
AGAGUUGGCCGGGCAGUCGCCCGGGUAUAUACUUUUAUCUGCGAUUUUGCUUUUAAAGGUAAGCCCGGGAGGAAAGUCCGAGCUUUACAGGGCAGGGUGCCGGGUAACACCCGGCGGAGGCUUAUGUAAAUGCGCCUUCAGCGAAAGUGCAGCAGAAAAUAUACCGCCUGUCUUUAAUAUAUAAUUAUUUUACAGGCAGGUAAGGGUGAAAUGGCGAGUUAAGAGCUCACCGGCAGCCUGGCAACAGGCUGGCCUUGAAAACCGCACCCGAAGCAAGGCCAAAUAGGGAAGAAAUGGAGUUGCCCGCUCUUCUUCCGGGUAAGGCCGCUUGAGAUAAAUAGCAAUAUUUAUCCCAGAUGGAUGACUGCCGCUGGUAUCCGGUAAUUUAUUUGCCGGCCAUCAGAACAGGACUCGGCUUACAGGCCAGCUCUAAUU